UUUGUUUGCUGUGUCAUUUCACUUUUGAUCUUUCCCAUGGUUUCGCUCAUACCACUCAUUUAUUUAUCUUUGUUCUUCUCUCUCCUCUCAUCUCAAUUCUCUCCUAAAUCAUCAUGUGUUAAGUUCGAAAGGGUUGCAAUCAUGUGCAUCAUAGUUCAUGAAUUCUUCUAAGUUAAUCUCAUCUAACCUAGAUCUAUUCGAUUUCUGCAAUAUUUGAUGACGACGAUUUGGGUCUGCACCAUUAAUGUGGCUUUUAGGCUGAUUGAAUGGUACAAAGAAAUGGGGUAUGAAAAGUAGUUUUUUAGCAAGGGCUCAAUGGCAGGAAAAGGAGGGAAAAGGCUAUUGGCUGGUAAAACAAUUGCGGUUAACAAAGAGAAGGAAUAAGAAAGACCCCACAUUUCUCGUUGUUCUACACACCUAGUCUUCCAGUAGCCUUUCCUCAUUUAUUUAAAUUGAGAUCAAUAUAAUUUUUCAAGUAGCAUUUAGAUUGAUAUAAUUUGAUUUCAGUGGGUUUGUAUGGUUUGUCAUUGUGCUGCAUUUUUUAUUUUAUGAUGCAUAAUCGACACUUGUGAAGCUUAAGCAUGGCUCACAGUGUAAUCUUAGCCCGACAACCCAAGAUUCCAUGGAUUUUGAAACGAGCUGGAAUGUUUCGGAGGUCUUAUUUACUUUAAUUUGCCUUUCUGCAAUCCUUCCUCUUGGGUUAAUGGAAGUAAAUAAACUGAUGGAAGGUAUCUCCUUUAUUUUCCAUAUUAUUAUCUUUGUGUAAGCUCAAGCAUGGCUCACAGUGCAUGUUUGCCUAUGGGUUAGCUUAGCUUAGCUUUGAUCUUCAUGUCAACUUAAAAUGUGAACUUAGUAUCUCUAAUCUUUAUUUAAAGAAAAGUAUCUUUGAUAUUGGUGUUGAAAAAGGUCAUCAUUAUUUCAAUUAUCUGGUAUAGAAUUUUGCAUUAAUGACAUUCAUAUGAUAAAUUGAGGGAAAAUAUAUCAAUACUGCUAUGAAAUUCGAAAAUGUGAUGAUGAUUGAGAUUAUGUGAAUUUCAUGUUCUUCAUGGUUCUAUUUCUCUAUGCACACUUUUUUCUUCUAAUUUUAUAUAUUUUGAAUUAUUAUUGUUGAUUUGAUAAUGAUUUUGUUUAAAUUAUGAUGAUUUGAUUGGUAAUUUAAAUUUUUGUUAGUUUUGAGUGUUAGAUUAUGGAUUUGUUGGUAGUUUCUGUUUUGAAUUUAUGAGUUUUUGUAUGUUUAUUUAUUUAUAUUUUUUAUUUUUUUGAAUUACUAAUGUUUGCAAAUUUGGUUGGAUUUGUUGGCUAAUUGGACUUCAAAUUUGAAAUGAAUGGAUAAGGAGUUGGUAAAGUGGCGUGAACCAUAAGCUUAUCAACCUUAAUAUCAGGGGCCAACGUGGAAGAAUUAAUAUAUAGGGUUUGCCAAAAUUUUUGAGCAUUUCUUUCUCAAAUUAGUAGGAUGGAGAUUUGUAAAAUUAGCAAAUAAUUAAAGUAAUUGAAAGGCUUUGCUUGGAAAAGGUCACUAGAUCAACUUGUUCUAUGUGAUGAUGACUGAUGAGUCUCUUAUAUUAAUUGUAUGUACUUGAAUAAGCUUGAAUUAUUUGGAUGCAUGGAUGUGGGUGUAACGGUUUAAUUUCAAAAUUUUCCCUAAUUGCUUUCACAAGCCUCUAACUUUAGCCGGCCAGUUUUGUUUUUUCUCUUCUUUUUAUAGAGGAAAUAAAGAGAAAGAAGGGUUGGAUGUUGGUUUUGAAUGUGAUCUAAGGAUUGCAACUAAAUGGCCUUUCUACUGCUGCAGGCACCUUAUGAAAUUAAGGAGUCAAAGCAGGAAUGGUUGAAUUGAUGGGGAAAAAGCUCAAAUUUAAUGAAGAGAUAGCUGUUGAAGCAAUGGCCACUAAAGAAUAGUAGAAGAAAAAGCUCAAAAUCUAUGAGGUUGGCAGACACUAAGCUAGAGCCUCCAGGUUGAGGGAUAUAGUGGAAGAACUGACCCGCCAGCUUAAGAACUUGGACAAUAAAGAUAAUAACAAGAAUAAAACUUGUUCGAGAUAUGUAUGUUGUGGCCUUUGGAGUGACUUUGGAAUUGACUUUGUUGGUACAUAAUGGGAAAUUGAUGUACCAGAACAGCAAGCUCAAAUGAAAUGGAAUUGUUAAAAGUAGAAUCACUUUUAUUGUGAUUUUUUAGGCUUAUAUUUAUAGUCAAUUUAUUCA